rnacentral:rRNA from 1 species
AGGUAAGCUACUAAGAGCGAAUGGUGGAUGCCUUGGUUGGUAGAGGCGAUGAAAGACGUGCUAGACUGCGAUAAGUCUCGGGGAGUUGUCAAGGAGCUUUGAUCCGGGAAUUUCUGAAUGGGGAAACCCAGUAUAUAGUGAUAUAUACUACCUAUAUGGAGCAAACGUGGGGAAUUGAAACAUCUUAGUACCCACAGGAAAAGAAAUCAAAUGAGAUUACGAAAGUAGCGGCGAGCGAAAUCGUAAAAGGGCAAACCACUAGUUUACUAGUGGGGUUGUAGGACUGUAACAUAGACUAAAAAGAGUUAAUAGAAUAAUCUGGAAAGUUUAAGCAUAGAGGGUGAUACUCCCGUAUAUGAAAACUCUUUUUUACUUAACAGUAUCCUGAGUAGGGCGAGGCACGUGAAACCUUGUCUGAAUCUGGGAAGACCACUUUCCAACCCUAAAUACUACUACCAAACCGAUAGUGAACAAGUACCGUGAGGGAAAGGUGAAAAGAACGGGGGUGACCCGAGUGAAAUAGAACCUGAAACCAUUUGCUUACAAUCAUUCAGAGCACGAUUCUUUAUGACGUGUGAUGGACUGCCUUUUGCAUAAUGAGCCUGCGAGUUGUGAUAUCUGGCAAGGUUAAGGAAAUCCGGAGCCGUAGCGAAAGCAAGUCUUAAUAGGGCGUUUAGUCAGAUAUUGCAGACCCGAAACGAAGUGAUCUAUCCAUGAGCAGGUUGAAACCGGUGUAAGAGCCGGCGGAGGACCGAACCCGCUGACGUUGAAAAGUCUUGGGAUGACUUGUGGAUAGGGGUGAAAGGCCAAUCAAACUUCGUGAUAGCUGGUUCUCUCCGAAAUAUAUUUAGGUAUAGCGUUAUGUAGUAAUUAGAGGGGGUAGAGCACUGAAUGGGCUAGGGCAUACACCAAUGUACCAAACCCUAUCAAACUCCGAAUACCUUUAAUGUAAUCAUAGCAGUCAGGCGGCGAGUGAUAAAAUCCGUCGUCAAAAGGGGAACAACCCAGACUACCGACUAAGGUCCCAAAAUCUUAUUUAAGUGGAAAACGAUGUGAAGUUACUUAAACAACCAGGAGGUUGGCUUAGAAGCAGCCAUCCUUUAAAGAUAGCGUAAUAGCUCACUGGUCUAGUGAUUUUGCGCGGAAAAUAUAACGGGGCUAAAAUAAGUACCGAAGUCGUAGACUUGCACACAACUUAGUUCUUUAUAAAACAAAGUGUAUAAGUUAUAUUUAAAACUAGCGAUAGCGUUUUUGCAAAGCAAAAAGUUUUAAAAUAUCUUAAG